rnacentral:rRNA from 1 species
ACGAACGCUGGCGGCGUGCUUCACACAUGCAAGUCGAACGGAAAGGCCCUGCUUGCAGGGUACUCGAGUGGCGAACGGGUGAGUAACACGUGGGUGAUCUGCCCUGCACUUCGGGAUAAGCCUGGGAAACUGGGUCUAAUACCGGAUAUGACCUUCCAUGUAGUGUGGGGGGUGGAAAGAUUUAUCGGUGUGGGAUGAGCCCGCGGCCUAUCAGCUUGUUGGUGGGGUAAUGGCCUACCAAGGCGUCGACGGGUAGCCGGCCUGAGAGGGUGGACGGCCACAUUGGGACUGAGAUACGGCCCAGACUCCUACGGGAGGCAGCAGUGGGGAAUAUUGCACAAUGGGCGGAAGCCUGAUGCAGCGACGCCGCGUGGGGGAUGACGGCCUUCGGGUUGUAAACCUCUUUCGACAGGGACGAAGCUUCGGUGACGGUACCUGUAUAAGAAGCACCGGCUAACUACGUG